UCUCUCUCUCUCUCUCUCUCUCUCUCUCUCUCUCUCUCUCUCUCUUCAAAAACUGCCCCCGUUGCUUUUCUAUUGGCAUUGCACUCAUGUUUUCUUAUGUGAGAAAUACCUUUCUGUGAUCCCAAAAGAAGUUUCAGAGUAGAAAUUUUGGCUUUCUGUCUUCUAGGUGGUUGGUUAAGUUGAUAAAGACCACAUUGCCAUGGAGUUUGACAUCCCUCAUGAACUCUGCUCUAGAAUUUCAGAAAUGUUAACUGCUGCUUGCUUGUUCUUUUGUUUGGCUCUCUGGCUUUAUGAAUUGUAAGAUCACAGCAUUGUAAGAUCACUGUAUCUCAGUAAUUUUUUUUUAAAUCCCUCCUGGCCUUUCCUCAAGCCAGGUUGGAAUUAAGACUGUUACAGAUGUUUAAUACUCAGUGAGAGACUAGUAGGUACAUGUUAGUGGCAGCUGGAGAGAUCGCUCAGUAGAAAAGUAUUUGCUACUCUUGCAGAGGACCCAAGUAACUCCAGCUCCAAGGUAUCUAACCUCCUGACCCCUGUGGGACACACACACACACACACACACACACACACACACACACACACACACACACAUUUUUUAAAGUACAUGUUUAAAAUAACUCUAUAAUCCAUUCAACAUCAGCAGCAUAGAAAAGGAAUUUUAGUUUAGUGUUUGGAACAUAUCUGCCCUUUGCCUGACAUGUGUUUAUAGUGUGGCUCUAAUAGGUUCUGGAGUUCUACACAUGCAUGAGCAAAUUCUCAAAUUAUGUUAUGGUUUGUGUUUGUCCCACAAAAGCAAACAGGAUCCUGCUUUUAAUAGCCAUUUUAAAAACAUGAUUGCACUAGAAACUGUUGUAAUCAUCUUUGGGUUGAGAUCUUCCUAACAUCAAAAAUUAAAAUUGAUUUGGUUGCUAAUAAUUGAAGGAAACAAAUCUAGAACCAAAGCCUAAUUUACUACCACUAGCAGUAGCAACAACAAAAACAUCAAAAAAUUCCAUUUCUUUUUGAUGCUUUAAACAUAUUCAUGUAAAUUGUCUUGUUCACUCAGAACAUUAAGAGUAUAAAAUAUUUUCUGUUUACAGAAAUGUAAAACCCUGAAUGUUGCUAAAUGGUGAACAUUUAAUUGAAAUACAGACUGUGCCUUUGUCUCUGUGUAUUUUAUGACAAGGCCUUAUGUAGCACAGGCUAACCUCAAACUUGCUAAGUAGCUGAGGGUAAUUGUGAGCUUUUGGACCUCCUGCCUCUACUUCCAAGUGCUGGAGUGACAGGUGCAUAGGGAUGAAGUAUGCUAGUGUGUACACAGACCUGCCACACAAAGAACACAGCUCUGAGAAUUAAAAGAAUAGAUCUCUGUAAAUUGCAUCUGACCAGAAAGGAAGAGACCUGGCUGGAUCGGGUCUGUGUCCUGGUAAACCCCACAGUAAGAUCAGGAUUCAGAAGUCUAAGAACAAAGUGGGAAAUAGGCUCUGUUUCUAGAAGAUUCUCACGAAAGCCCCAAAGAGCUAAGAAGCAUAUCUCAGGUUGUAGCCAGAGUCUGGGCGGGCCUACUCAGGAGUACUGUCUUCCCUGUGAGCCGAGUGGCUGUAGUGCUGUCUGUCUCAGAUAGGGUAAGACUGGCAGGUGCCUAGUUCAUUUUAAUCAGGAUCAAUGAGACAGAUAUAAUUUAUAUAAAAGUUUCCAGCACAGCAAAUGGUGAACUUGGAGACUACAUGGAGAUGCUAGAUGAACACAUUAAACUAAUGCUCUUGGCUGCAUUCUAGCACAAACAGCAAUCCUCUGCAGGGCUGUUCCUGGCAGUUUGACAUUGAAGAACACAUUGCCAGUUAACCCUGAUCUGCAAAGUACAAAGAGAAAUGCAGUAGGUUUGGGGACUAACGUUGAGUCUCUUCAUUUACACUAAUGGAUUCGAGCUCUGUGGCCCCUGUUAAUAUCCUCACUGAAGCUUUUCUUGUAGGUACUGACAGAUGAACUGAGGGUUCUCUGCAUGGAAAUACAUGCUUCUUUAGAUAUCCCGAAAUAUCUGGGCGGCAGGUGUCCCAGUGGGGACUUAAGAGAAUGUGGAGAGUGCCUGAGCAGAGGCCCCAGCUGGAGGUAGUGCCCUGCACCCCGCCUCCCAUAUAAGGAAAGGGUCUAUAGUAAAGUGGAAUUCUCCAGUUGAUAAACAUUAUGUUUUUUGCCCAGUCUUUUGUUCUUUUUGUUCUUCCCCUCUUGGAAUCUUUCCUUACUUCUAGUGAUACUUUAAUUUGAAGUUGGGUUUUAAAGCUGUUAGACCCUUUGUGGGCAUGGUGAUCUUCAAAGUACUUGGAAGCUGAGGCAGGAGGAUUGAGUCUUUGAGGCCAGUCUGAGAUACUCAGUGAGACCUUGCCAAAGGAAGAAAGAGCAAAACUAGCUAGCAAUUGGACUCAUUUGUACUCCAACCUUUUUUGUAUAAAAAUUAUAAUCAUGGAUGAUAGUAAAUGUGGGUGCUAAGUUUAAACAUGAAAAUUAUAAUGAACAGGAUAAAAUAGUACACCAGCUGACUUUUUUAUAGACUAUAUCAUAAAGUAAAAUACAACUGAAUUACUUUGUGUGUUAAAAGUAAAAAUUUAAGUUUUUUUUCUAAAAAAUUAGUAACUUAGAAAUGGAGGCUUUGAUAUAGAAGGGGGCAUUUUUAAUAAGAUAAUUUUUAUCAUGGUGAGAACUAUUUUUUUUUACUAAAAGUAUUUUGUAACUGAAAUUUUAAAGUAAACCUGUUAAAUACCAUUAGAAAGUCAAAUAAACAUCUACUAGUAGGUUUGUUUUAGUGUGUAUUUUGUACCUUAUGACUUAGUUUCAAAUAAGAAUGUAUUGAAGGAUGCAGACUGGGCAGUGAGGGCAUCAGAGCUUUUAUUGGGGACACUGUAUUUUAAGUCUCAUAGCUGCUGGGUCAUAAAGGGUUUUCAUUAGACAUUUGAAUAGACUUAUUCUGGGGGUGAUCAUGCACUCCGCCCCUCAUCCCUAGGAGGAAACACAGAAUCAAAUAGCUCUUUCCUCUUCAGUGCAAAUCAUUUGGGAAAUUGGGAUCUGAGUCCCGAUGCUGCCAUGGCUUCUAUUUCUCAGAAGUGGAUGUGAAUACCUGCACAGCCUGCUUUCCUUCUUCGUAGCAUCGUGUGGACAGUAUAGAGACAGGUGAAUGCACUUGAAUUCUGAUUCUUUACCAAAAGAAUGUAUGGCUAUCACCAUCCUUUACCAUUAGGGACAUAUUUUAUAGUAGGCUUUUUUAAUUCAAGUAAGUGCCUUGAUGGUGUUCCUCAUAAAUCAUUGCUCAACUGUCCUUCAGGACAAAAGUGAGGUAGUUCCUGUUGUGGGGAGGGGGUUGUUAAUCAUUUUCUUGGGGAAGAAUGUGUUUGUAUUGCUUAUUUUGUAAUGUCCUCUAUGUGUUUGAGAUCUAAGAUGCCAUUUCUUUUGUUAAUAAAUUGUUU
ensembl:lncRNA